rnacentral:rRNA from 1 species
CUACGGGCUGCACCAGUGGGGAAUAUUGCACAAUGGAGGAAACUCUGAUGCAGCAACGCCGCGUGGAGGAUGACACUUUUCGGAGCGUAAACUCCUUUUAUAUAGGAAGAAGAUGACGGUACUAUAUGAAUAAGCGCCCGCUAACUCCGUGCCAGCAGCCGCGGUAAUACGGAGGGCGCAAGCGUUAAUCGGAAUCACUGGGCGUAAAGAGCGUGUAGGCGGAUUAAAAAGUCAGAAGUGAAAUCCUAUAGCUUAACUAUAGAACUGCUUCUGAAACUCUUAAUCUAGAAUAUGGGAGAGGUAGAUGGAAUUUCUGGUGUAGGGGUAAAAUCCGUAGAGAUCAGAAGGAAUACCGAUUGCGAAGGCGAUCUACUAGAACAUUAUUGACGCUGAGACGCGAAAGCGUGGGGAGCAAACAGGAUUAGAUACCCUGGUAGUC